rnacentral:sRNA from 1 species
ACAUUUCAACGAGUUUGUUUUUAUAUUUAAUAAAACAUCUACGAUCUACCCUUGUUGAGUUUGAAGAUAUAAAGUUGCUAUGUAGCGAUGAGAGUUAUACGCAGACAGUCAGUUCUAAUUUGAUUGAUAAAUCUAUGAAGUGUCACAUUUGCCAAGACCGCUAGUUCUAACUGUCUGCAUAGUAGACUCAGGACAGGAAUGUAGGUUCUAACUAAUGUGGAGAAAUAAAAAGUAGAAAAAAAAGCGUUGAAAAGUUAAUAAAAUUGAAAUAAUAGAUUUAAGAAAUGUCUGUAAAAAAAA